rnacentral:rRNA from 1 species
AAAGAUUUAUCGCCUUAAGAGGGGGGUGCGGAUCAACAGUUAGUUGGUGAGGUAAAUGCUCACCAAGACGAUGACGGAUAGCCGGCCUGAGAGGGUGAUCGGCCGCAACGGGACUGAGACACGGCCCGUACUCCUACGGGAGGCAGCAGUGAGGAAUUUUGGACAAUGGAGGAAACUCUGAUCCAGCUAUUCUGCGUGAAGGAUGAAGCUUUUCGGAGUGUAAACUUCUUUUCUGGGGGAAGACGAAUGACGGUACCUCAAGAAUAAGAGGCGGCUAACUAUGUGCCAGCAGCCGCGGUAAUACAUAGGCCUCAAAUGUUACCCGGAGUUACUGGGCGUAAAGGGUCCGUAGCCGGAUAUGUAAGUCUAUCUUCAAAAACUGAAGCUUAACUUCAGGGAGGGGGUAGAUACUGUAUAUCUAGAGAUAGAAGGGGGUUAGUGGAAUUUCCGGUGGAGCAGUGGAAUGUGUUGAUAUCGGGAAGAACGCCAAAAGUGAAGACAGCUAACUACUACUAAUCUGACGGUGAGUGACGAAAGCAUAGGUAUCAAAUAGGAUUAGAUACCCUAGUAGUCUAUGCUGUAAAUGAUGUAUGC